rnacentral:rRNA from 1 species
GACGAACGCUGGCGGCGUGCUUAACACAUGCAAGUCGAACGGAAAGGCCCUGCUAUUGUGUGGUGCUCGAGUGGCGAACGGGUAAGUCACCCGUGAGUAGCCUGCCCUUGACUUUGAGAUAACUUCAGGAAACUGGGUCUAAUACCGGAUAGGAGCUCCUGCUGCAUGGAGGGGGUUGGAACGUUUCGGUGGUUGGGGAUGGACUCGCGGGUUAUCAGCUUGGUGGGGGGGUACUGCCUUACCACGGUGUGUACGGGUAGCCGGACUGUGGGGGUGAGCGGCGACAUUGGGACUGAGGGACGGCCCAGGCGGCGACGGGAGGCAGCAGUGGGGAAUAUUGCACAAUGGGUGGAAGCCGGAUGCAGAAACGCCGCGGGCGGGAUGACGGCCUUCGGGUUGUAAAACGCUUUCGGCUGAGACGAAGCGUGAGUGACGGUAAUGGGUAAAGAAGCACCGGGUAACUACGUG